GCGAGCGUGGCGGAAUGGUAGACGCGCUGUCUUCAGGUGGCAGUGAGCUUAUGCUCGUGCGGGUUCAAGUCCCGCCGCUCGCACCA
rnacentral:tRNA from 1 species